rnacentral:rRNA from 1 species
AAACUUAAAUGAAUUGACGGGGCCCGCACAAGCGGAGGAACAUGUGGUUAAUUCGAUGAUACGCGAGGAACCUUACCUGGGCUUAAAUGUAGAGUGCAUUUUCUAGAGAUAGGAAUUCCCUUCGGGGCUUUCUACAAGGUGCUGCAUGGUUGUCGUCAGCUCGUGCCGUGAGGUGUCGGGUUAAGUCCCAUAACGAGCGCAACCCUUAUCGUUAGUUGCCAUCUGGUAAAGCAGGGGACUCUAGCGAAACUGCCACCGUAAGGUGAGAGGAAGUGGGGAUGACGUCAAAUCAGCACGGCCCUUAUGUCCAGGGCUACACACGUGUUACAAUGGUCGGUACAGAGGGCAGCUACCUGGUGACAGGAUGCUAAUCUCGAAAACCGGCCUCAGUUCGGAUCGAAGUCUGCAACUCGACUUCGUGAAGCUGGAUUCGCUAGUAAUCGCGCAUCAGCCAUGGCGCGGUGAAUACGUUCCCGGGCCUU